AAAAGAUAUAUAUAUAUAUAUAUAUGUUUUAAUAUGGCCUACAUCUGAUUCUGCAGGUUUAUUAACCAAAGUGUCUAGUCCUCUAGAUGUCACUGCUACCCAUGUAAUACCUAAUGUUGACAACACAGAGAGGGUCACUGACCUCUGUUCGUUCUUCCAGACGUUCCCUUCAGUGCCCUAUAUACUGCAGACACUAUGAGAAUCACUCUGAGAUCAAUUGGACACAAAGCAUUCAUGGAGAGGAAAAGAAAGGUCAGAUGACCUCUGUAAUUAUGUUGAAGGAGAGUGUGUGCAUGUAUUUGUGUGGUUUGUUAACAGAGCAUGCCCGUGACUGUCUUGUAUGUAUGUUUGGUGUGUGUGUUUGUGUGUGUGUGUGUGUGUGUGUGUGUGUAUGCGUGUGUUGA
ensembl:lncRNA